rnacentral:RNase_P_RNA from 1 species
GAAGCGCGCCAGGCCGUCGCUGGCACAGCCCGCAAGGGAACCCGAAAGGGAGUGCUGGAGGAACGUCCGGACUGCACAGGACAGCGUAGGAGGUAACACCUCUCCACCGACAAGCCGCAAGGCCCUAAGGUGAGGAUCAGAGCAACAGAGACGAGCCGAUUCAGUUCGGGUGAAACGGGCAAUCUCUACGCGCAGCAAUACCAAAUAGGCCAGCGUUGACGUGGUUCCGCGGAGCUGGCGGGUAGGUAGCACCGAGCCGGGUGGGUGACCCCCGGCCCAGAUGAAUGACGGUCACGUUCAGGGCCCUCGCAAGGGGGUUCGGGACGCACAAAAUCCGGCGUAUCGGCGCGCUUCACAC